UCAGCCAUCCGCUGCUCCUCUGCAUUGGGAGGAGACAGUUGAGGUGGUUCGGACAUCUGAUAAGGAUGCCCCCCGUGGUGUCUCCCCUCGGGGGUGUACUGGUGUACUGGGCACAUCCAGCUACUGGAGCACUGUGGCUGAGAUGCAAAUUCAUUACAAAUUAAAGGUCACAGUAUGUACCACUGCCAAGUGUGAUAUUCUGGGAUCCUGCUGUACUGUAUUACCUGGUUGGUGUAGCAAUGGGCACACAGAGUGGUCAUACAGCUUCUCACUGCAGUCUGGAUGACAGAAACCCUGCCCUUCUUCUGUUGCAGACCCACCCCUUCAGACUGCACCAUGACCCUCUUUAGCAAUAUUCUUUCUUUCUUUUUGGGUUUUCUUUUGGGAUAAUAUUGCCAGCAUAGCUAUCUAAGGAUAGGUUAGCUGUGUGGUGGUAUUUGCUUUUGUUUUCAGUUCUAAUUGUUGGUUUGUUCAGUUAUUUUUGGGCUUAUUAAUUAUAAAUGGGCCUUUGUGCCUUCUUGGUGACAUCGCACUUGUAUUCCUGAGAUGAAGAAUGUCCUCUACUUUUUCUAGUUGCUCUGGAUAAGAGAGUUCACUAAGGGAUUGUAAUGUAAUGUAAAAUGUAUUCUCAUUAUUAUGUUCCUAUUAUUUCUUUUAAUUUUUAAAAUGUAUUAUGUACUUUUAUUUCCUUAUUCAUGGCAGGUGGUAUACCUCAUGCAUAAUUUGUUUAAUUAAUGGCUAGAUGUUUAC